UUUGACAUCCUGCGAAUCCCUUGGAAACUUGGGAGUGCCUUCGGGAGCGCAGAGACAGGUGGUGCAUGGCUGUCGUCAGCUCGUGUCGUGAGAUGUUGGGUUAAGUCCCGCAACGAGCGCAACCCACGUCUUUAGUUGCCAGCAUUUAGUUGGGCACUCUAGAGAGACCGCCGGUGAUAAACCGGAGGAAGGUGUGGAUGACGUCAAGUCAUCAUGCCCCUUACAUCCUGGGCUACACACGUACUACAAUGCUACGGACAAAGGGCAGCAAACUCGCGAGAGCUAGCAAAUCCCAUAAACCGUGGCUCAGUUCAGAUCGUAGGCUGCAACUCGCCUACGUGAAGGAGGAAUCGCUAGUAAUCGCAGGUCAGCAUACUGCGGUGAAUACGUUCCCGGGUCUUGUACACACCG
rnacentral:rRNA from 1 species